CCUACGGGAGGCAGCAGUAGGGAAUAUUGCUCAAUGGGGGAAACCCUGAAGCAGCAACGCCGCGUGGAGGAUGAAGGUUUUCGGAUUGUAAACUCCUUUUGUUAGAGAAGAUAAUGACGGUAUCUAACGAAUAAGCACCGGCUAACUCCGUGCCAGCAGCCGCGGUAAUACGGCGGGUGCAAGCGUUACUCGGAAUCACUGGGCGUAAAGAGCGCGUAGGCGGGAUAGCAAGUCAGAUGUGAAAUCCUAGGGCUUAACCAUAGAACUGCAUUUGAAACUGUUAUUCUAGAGUAUGGGAGAGGUAGGUGGAAUGCUUGGUGUAGGGGUAAAAUCCGUAGAGAUCAAGAGGAAUACUCAUUGCGAAGGCGACCUGCUAGAACAUAACUGACGCUGAGGCGCGAAAGCGUGGGGAGCAAACAGGAUUAGAUACCCGUGUAGUC
rnacentral:rRNA from 1 species